CGGGACUUGACCUUAUAGCCAAUCCACGCAGAGGGCCGAGUCGCCGCGGCCUGUCGGUCGCGUGCGGGGAGGGGGUGUCUUCCGGUCGGGCCGAGCUAGUCGCUGGGCUGGUUGAAGGACAUCGGCUGCGGAGUUUGGGAUUGGGACGAAGAUUGAAGUAAUGGCUGGUGCAGAAAGUGAUGGCCAAUUCCAGUUCACUGGUAUUAAAAAAUAUUU